rnacentral:rRNA from 1 species
GCGGCCGAUUAGGUUGUUGUUGGGGUAACGGCCCAACAAGCCUUUGAUCGGUACGGGUUGUGAGAGCAAGAGCCCGGAGAUGGAUUCCGAGACACGAAUCCAGGCCCUACGGGGCGCAGCAGGCGCGAAAACUUUACAAUGCGGGAAACCGUGAUAAGGGAACCCCGAGUGCCCGUAAAUUCGGCCUGUCCACCAGUGCAAAUAACUGGUGAAGAAAGGGCCGGGCAAGACCGGUGCCAGCCGCCGCGGUAAUAC